CCUACGGGAGGCUGCAGUGGGGAAUAUUGGACAAUGGGCGAAAGCCUGAUCCAGCCAUGCCGCGUGUGUGAAGAAGGCCUUCGGGUUGUAAAGCACUUUCAGUGGGGAAGAAAGCCUUGGGGCUAAUACCCUCGAGGAAGGACAUCACCCACAGAAGAAGCACCGGCUAACUCCGUGCCAGCAGCCGCGGUAAUACGGAGGGUGCGAGCGUUAAUCGGAAUUACUGGGCGUAAAGCGCGCGUAGGCGGUCUGAUAAGCCGGUUGUGAAAGCCCCGGGCUCAACCUGGGAACGGCAUCCGGAACUGUCAGACUAGAGUGCAGUAGAGGAAGGUAGAAUUCCCGGUGUAGCGGUGAAAUGCGUAGAGAUCGGGAGGAAUACCAGUGGCGAAGGCGGCCUUCUGGACUGACACUGACGCUGAGGUGCGAAAGCGUGGGUAGCAAACAGGAUUAGAUACCCCGGUAGUC
rnacentral:rRNA from 1 species